rnacentral:tRNA from 1 species
GGCCCCGUCGUCUAGCCUGGUCCAGGACACAUCCCUUUCACGGAUGUGACAUGGGUUCGAAUCCCAUCGGGGUCAC